rnacentral:lncRNA from 1 species
GCCACAGGAGACAGCGCUGGAGAACGGGGAACCAGCUGGGUCAGCCCCAGAGACUGACCAGGGCUCUGGGCCAGACGCCGUGGGCCGGGUACAGGGCUGGGCACUGACCCGCCAGCAGCUCCAGGCCCUGCUUCUCAAGCGCUUUCUGCUUGCCCGCCGCAGCCGCCGCGGCCUGUUCGCCCAGUGAGGACGCCCCAGGGGACCCUGGACGUGCCCGGCUGCUCGAGGCGCUGCUGCAGGAGGCAGGACUGGAGGAGCCCCCAGUGCAGCAUAGCUCCCACAGGUUCUCGGCACCAGAAGUUCCUGCUGAAGUGGCCAAGGUCUUGGCCAGUGGCAACUGGACCCCAGAGUCUCCAUCCCCAGCCUGCCAGUGUAGCCGGCCCGGUGCCCGGCGCCUGCUGCCCGACUGCCCGGCUGCAGCUGGUGGUCCCCCUCCGCCCCAGGCAGUGACCGGCUCUGGGGAAGUGGUUCAGAACCUGACAGGCCGGAACCUGUCUGACUUCCUGGUCAAGACCUACCCGCGCCUGGUGCGCCAGGGCCUGAAGACUAAGAAGUGGGUGAAUGAGGUCAG